rnacentral:lncRNA from 1 species
UAAAGAUACCAGGGUCCCAGCAUUCAUGCACAUUGAGAAUGGCAGGUGCUGGAAUUACAGAGAUGCACUAGCCAUGCUCAGCUUCACAGGGUCCUGAGGAUCUAACUCAGGGAAUCCUUUGUGCCAAGCAGAACUGUACCAGAAUUCUCCUAGCCCUGCCCAUACUUCCUGCCUGGCUACUGGCCACUCAGUGUUUUAUUUAACCAAGAGGAGUGACAGAUCUUCACAGUGAACAAAGAUCAUCAUCCCACAUCACUUCUCAUUUCGAGUUGUUUCCCCAAGGAUAUGUCUGAAAGCUAACAAGUAAUUUCCUG